rnacentral:rRNA from 1 species
GAGUGGCGAACUGGUGAGUAACACGUGGGAAACCUGCCCAGAAGCGGGGGAUAACACCUGGAAACAGAUGCUAAUACCGCAUAACAACUUGGACCGCAUGGUCCGAGUUUGAAAGAUGGCUUCGGCUAUCACUUUUGGAUGGUCCCGCGGCGUAUUAGCUAGAUGGUGAGGUAACGGCUCACCAUGGCAAUGAUACGUAGCCGACCUGAGAGGGUAAUCGGCCACAUUGGGACUGAGACACGGCCCAAACUCCUACGGGAGGCAGCAGUAGGGAAUCUUCCACAAUGGACGAAAGUCUGAUGGAGCAACGCCGCGUGAGUGAAGAAGGGUUUCGGCUCGUAAAACUCUGUUGUUAAAGAAGAACAUAUCUGAGAGUAACUGUUCAGGUAUUGACGGUAUUUAACCAGAAAGCCACGGCUAACUACGUGCCAGCAGCCGCGGUAAUACGUAGGUGGCAAGCGUUGUCCGGAUUUAUUGGGCGUAAAGCAAGCGCAGGCGGUUUUUUAAGUCUGAUGUGAAAGCCUUCGGCUCAACCGAAGAAGUGCAUCGGAAACUGGGAAACUUGAGUGCAGAAGAGGACAGUGGAACUCCAUGUGUAGCGGUGAAAUGCGUAGAUAUAUGGAAGAACACCAGUGGCGAAGGCGGCUGUCUGGUCUGUAACUGACGCUGAGGCUCGAAAGUAUGGGUAGCAAACAGGAUUAGAUACCCUGGUAGUCCAUACCGUAAACGAUGAAUGCUAAGUGUUGGAGGGUUUCCGCCCUUCAGUGCUGCAGCUAACGCAUUAAGCAUUCCGCCUGGGGAGUACGGCCGCAAGGCUGAAACUCAAAGGAAUUGACGGGGGCCCGCACAAGCGGUGGAGCAUGUGGUUUAAUUCGAAGCUACGCGAAGAACCUUACCAGGUCUUGACAUACUAUGCAAAUCUAAGAGAUUAGACGUUCCCUUCGGGGACAUGGAUACAGGUGGUGCAUGGUUGUCGUCAGCUCGUGUCGUGAGAUGUUGGGUUAAGUCCCGCAACGAGCGCAACCCUUAUUAUCAGUUGCCAGCAUUAAGUUGGGCACUCUGGUGAGACUGCCGGUGACAAACCGGAGGAAGGUGGGGAUGACGUCAAAUCAUCAUGCCCCUUAUGACCUGGGCUACACACGUGCUACAAUGGAUGGUACAACGAGUUGCGAACUCGCGAGAGUAAGCUAAUCUCUUAAAGCCAUUCUCAGUUCGGAUUGUAGGCUGCAACUCGCCUACAUGAAGUCGGAAUCGCUAGUAAUCGCGGAUCAGCAUGCCGCGGUGAAUACGUUCCCGGGCCUUGUACACACCGCCCGUCACACCAUGAGAGUUUGUAACACCCAAAGUCGGUGGGGUAACCUUUUAGGAACCAGCCGCCUAAGGUGGGACAGAUGAUUAGGGUGAAGUC